rnacentral:lncRNA from 1 species
AUGGCUGUGUGCUGCACCGGCGGAAAGGGGACCCACGGCGACGAGCGGCGCCGCUGCGGACGGAGCGGCUUGCCAUUGUGGACGACGACGGCGGCGCCUGGGCGCCGAAGACCUGAUGGAGGCUCGAUCUGCGGCUGCUGGUUGCCACGGGCUGCUUGCUGCUUGCUUGAAGAUGAAGGGGCGAAUGAGCUUGCUGGGGCUAGUUUGCUGCUUGGAGACCACGACGAAGAAAAAGACUCAAAUCCCAUCGCUGGUGAUGCCUCCCUAUUGCUCCCCGACUGGGUCGAGCCGUGCGCAUCUGCCGUGGGAAUUCGGAGCGCCAGACAGCACUGCGCAGGCCGUUGUGCCAAAUGACCUUGUCAGA